rnacentral:rRNA from 1 species
UUUGAAAUCUAGCACCUUCGGUGUUCGAGUUGUAAUUUGAAGAUGGUAACCUUGGGUUUGGCUCUUGUCUAUGUUCCUUGGAACAGGACGUCAUAGAGGGUGAGAAUCCCGUCUGAUGAGAUGCCCAUUCCUAUGUAAGGUGCUAUCGAAGAGUCGAGUUGUUUGGGAAUGCAGCUCUAAGUGGGUGGUAAAUUCCAUCUAAAGCUAAAUAUUGGCGAGAGACCGAUAGCGAACAAGUACAGUGAUGGAAAGAUGAAAAGAACUUUGAAAAGAGAGUGAAAAAGUACGUGAAAUUGUUGAAAGGGAAGGGCAUUAGAUCAGACUUGGUGUUUUACGAUUAUCUUCUCUUCUUGAGUUGUGCACUCGUAUUUCACUGGGCCAGCAUCGAUUCGGAUGGCAAGAUAAUGGCAGUUGAAUGUGGCUUCACUUCGGUGGAGUGUUAUAGCUUCUGCUGAUAUUGCCUGUCUGGAUCGAGGGCUGCGUCUUUUGACUAGGAUGCUGGCGUAAUGAUCUAAUGCCGCCCGUCUUGAAACACG